rnacentral:tRNA from 1 species
AGGGGCUUAGGAUAGCACCAGACCAAGGGCCUUCAAAGCCUUAAGCGGGAGUGAAAAUCUCCCAGCCCCUG